rnacentral:rRNA from 1 species
AGCGAACGCUGGCGGCAGGCCUAACACAUGCAAGUCGAACGAACUCUUCGGAGUUAGUGGCGGACGGGUAAGUAACACGUGGGAACGUGCCUUUAGGUUCGGAAUAACUCAGGGAAACUUGUGCUAAUACCGAAUGUGCCCUUCGGGGGAAAGAUUUAUCGCCUUUAGAGCGGCCCGCGUCUGAUUAGCUAGUUGGUGAGGUAACGGCUCACCAAGGCGACGAUCAGUAGCUGGUCUGAGAGGAUGACCAGCCACACUGGGACUGAGACACGGCCCAGACUCCUACGGGAGGCAGCAGUGGGGAAUCUUGCGUAAUGGGCGAAAGCCUGACGCAGCCAUGCCGCGUGAAUGAUGAAGGUCUCAGGAUUGUAAAAUUCUUUCACCGGGGACGAUAAUGACGGUACCCGGAGAAGAAGCCCCGGCUAACUUCGUGCCAGCCGCCGCGGUAAUAC